rnacentral:lncRNA from 1 species
UACUCGUCUCUCUAGGCAGCUGAUGACGGAGUUGACAGAAGAGCAUCCACGAAGGCAUCUGGUGAGUGUCCUGGAGCUGGAGGAGUUGAUACUGGAGGUGCUUGAGGUGGAGCUGGUGCUGAAGGUGCUGAUGCUUGACCUGAAGAUGUAUCUCUUGUCUCCUGAGCAUGAACAACAGCUGAUCUAAGUUGAGGGCUGAACCGUGUGGCAGUGGGAGGAGGACACUCUUCUUCAUCAUUGUCAUCUUCAUCAUCAUCAUCGUCUGAGCGCGGGACCUCCACUGAGUCAACUUCAUGUCGAAGCUGUUUGACUAUAGUGGUCAACUCCGUAACCUUCACAUCCAUGUCAUGAAACUUUGUUUCCACGACUCUCUCAAGGUUUUUUUGACUUUGCAGUAUCUCCUAGAUGUUAUUCUCCAUGCCUUGGACAAAGCUAACUACAAAUGCCAUUUGCUC